rnacentral:lncRNA from 1 species
CAACAGGACACAUAAACUGUUAGUGCCUUGUCUGGAACAAGGAAAGUGGUCAAUAAAUGUAGUUUCUUUCAGAAGCAGAAGGAAAAGCUGUGUUUCAGGAAUGGUUUCAUGUCAGUAAAAACAAUUAUAGAUGACCUUCAUAGUUCCAGGCACAGUUAGAGAUACGGAGCUACACCUGUCCCAACUAUCAGAGUAGAAUCCAGCAAGGGUCUGAGCUGUGUGGCCCAAAUAGCCACCACCCAAAGCUCUGCAUGAUAAAGGCUGUGAGAAUUGCGAGCCCGACGUACCAGGGGAGUUCAGAGAAGGGAGCGAUUUCAAUUUUCUUUGAGUAUUGACUUGCUACUGCAUGGUAACUGUAGUAUCUUCUAAGAAUGACAGUCAGGGCUAAUGAAUCACUCCAUUUAGCUGUGGCAACAGCAAGGCAAAGAAAUAUCUUCAAGGGCCCAGACAUUAUUUUUCCAGCCUUGUUCCAGGGAUAUAACGUGCUUAGAAGUUAUGACAAAUUAGCUGCUGGUGGCAAAUCUACGUGGAACCUUUUUAUAAAAAAUGGAAGUUCCGUCCUGAGUUAAUGGGUUGUUAUUGGCAAGGGAAAUAAAAUUUGAUAAGGAGGGUGGGUCCUGGCAUGGAAGGACCUUCAAAAGCAGCAGAAGAUUUUACAUUUGACUCAGGAAGCCCAGGGAUGAGCAAAUGGGAGAGGCAUGGACCAGACCUCCAUUGAGUCACAGGCCAUUUCUGUAUUUCAGUGUCCCAACAGUCAGUUUACGCAUGAAGGCUGAGGGCACUGUCCCCAGACCAUUGUACAGGGUAAGGGAAAAGAAGUAAAGGAGACUUAAUUUUUUAAAAAAGAAACUAUAGAUGUGAGGAGAAUGCUAUUUUUUAACCAUGCUAAUUUUUUUUAUUGCCAAUCUUGUCUUCCUAGGAUGGAACAUCUCUUAAUUUCAUGCUGCCAUGUUUGUGCUUCCAGGUACCUGAGGUACAUUCAGAAAGGCCAGACUCUGGGUUCCUUCUGGCAUUGGGAGGAAGAAGGCAUCCCGGAAGUCAAGACUCUGAACACAUCUUCCUCAAGUACAUCCUACCUAAAGGAAACUCUUGCUUGGCACUGUUGGUUGUUCUGAAAGAAGAGAAAAUCCAGCAAACCACUGACCAUUUCAUUUUGCUGGCCAUAGUUGCAGCACUUUCAUACCUGCAGAACUCACUGGGGUUAUGCUAGAACAAGAGCUGAGCUACAGACUCCUGUUCCUAUUUUCGUUUUGUGUCCUACUGAGCCCUCCCUGUGUUACCAUCCCUGGGACCACCCACUGGACAGAUAUUGUACAACCCAAUAGGAAAUUCCCAACACCCAUCUUGGAGGUAAAGGGCCAUCAGUGCUGAUUGUAGGAAUGCCAUUUCUUCCCUGCCCUUUCAAUAAAGGGGCACUCCCAAAGACA